rnacentral:siRNA from 1 species
GCCAUGGCACAAACGCACCAGGA